GAUGAACGCUGGCGGCGUGCCUAAUACAUGCAAGUCGAGCGAACAGACGAGAGUGCUUGCACUCUCUGACGUUAGCGGCGGACGGGUGAGUAACACGUGGGUAACCUACCUAUAAGGCUGGGAUAACUUCGGGAAACCGGAGCUAAUACCGGAUAAUAUUUAGCUUCGCAUGAAGCAAUAGUGAAAGACGGUUCUGCUGUCACUUAUAGAUGGACCCGCGGUGUAUUAGCUAGUUGGUGAGGUAACGGCUCACCAAGGCAACGAUACAUAGCCGACCUGAGAGGGUGAUCGGCCACACUGGGACUGAGACACGGCCCAGACUCCUACGGGAGGCAGCAGUAGGGAAUCUUCCGCAAUGGACGAAAGUCUGACGGAGCAAUGCCGCGUGAGUGAAGAAGGUUUUCGGAUCGUAAAACUCUGUUGUAAGGGAAGAACAAGUACGUUAGUAACUGAACGUACCUUGACGGUACCUUACCAGAAAGCCACGGCUAACUACGUG
rnacentral:rRNA from 1 species